UGCCGCAUGGCUGAGUUGGUCACAGCGUCCGACUUGUUAUAAGUACAGUAUUGUGUAUGAUAACAUCGGAAGGUCGAGAGUUCGAGCCUCUCUGGGGCAG